rnacentral:tRNA from 1 species
GGCGGCGUAGCUCAGCUGGCCAGAGCAUACGGUUCAUACCCGUCAGGUCACUGGUUCGACUCCAGUCGCCGCCACCA